GCCUCCUUGGUGCAGUAGGCAGCGCGUCAGUCUCAUAAUCUGAAGGUUGUGAGUUCGAGCCUCACAUGGGGCA
rnacentral:tRNA from 2 species